AGUCGCUCCCCGAUGACAACGAAAUUGUUGAAGGCGAGUGGUUUGCGCCCGGUGACACC
rnacentral:tRNA from 1 species